GACGAACGCUGGCGGCGUGCUUAACACAUGCAAGUCGAACGGAAAGGCCCUGCUUUUGUGGGGUGCUCGAGUGGCGAACGGGUGAGUAACACGUGAGUAACCUGCUCUUGAUUUUGGGAUAACUUAAGGAAACUGGGGCUAAUACCGGAUAGGAGCUCCUGCUGCAUGGUGGGGGUUGGAAAGUUUCGGUGGUUGGGGAUGGACUCGCGGCUUAUCAGCUUGUUGGUGGGGUAGUGGCUUACCAAGGCUUUGACGGGUAGCCGGCCUGAGAGGGUGACCGGCCACAUUGGGACUGAGAUACGGCCCAGACUCCUACGGGAGACAGCAGUGGGGAAUAUUGCACAAUGGGCGGAAGCCUGAUGCAGCAACGCCGCGUGCGGGAUGACGGCCUUCGGGUUGUAAACCGCUUUCGCCUGUGACGAAGCGUGAGUGACGGUAAUGGGUAAAGAAGCACCGGCUAACUACGUG
rnacentral:rRNA from 1 species